GUUCUGCGUGCUGUGUUAAGCAGCGCUGCCCAUAGCAGCCCGACAACACGUUCCAUCGACUCUUUAUUACUAAUUUAUCAUCGUACUGCCUGGUGCUUAUUUAUAGAAAGUAUGUGCGAGGCUAUGUCAGCCAUCAGAUGAGUGAUUUGAUUUAUGUCCCCUGUAACAAUUUCAGGCUGUUUUUAGGAAGGGCCUUUGAACAGCUCUUACAGAAAUCAUUAUUUCUUGUCCAUGCUGUGGUGGCAGAGUUAUUUGUGGAGCAGAAAGUGCCUGAACACAUGGAAGAAGGAGAUGCUUCGGAAUGAUGUGGCCCUACCCACGAGAAGUGUUGUGGCAGAAGCAGGAUGAGGGAGCUGUGUGAUUUAGGUCAGCAAAGCUUGGGAGCAGUGAGACCACGGCCAGCCUGCAGCUCCCAUGGAGCCUCCUCAGGGCUGCAGGAGUGGUACCUGGGGGACAGCAGGUGGUUGGGAUCCCAGGGAGAGAUUUACACUGCUUUGUGAUGGAUGGAGUUGGCAUCUAAUCUAAACAGUCAAGAGAGGAAGGGUAUCUCCACUGACCCAGAUGGACAAAUGAUUAUGAGGAAACAUCUCCAAUGGCAAAGCCUGACCCAAGUCCUAUGUGUCUCUCUUCACAAAAGCGACUUUACAGCCUGCUAAUGUUAGCUUAGAUGAAUCCCAGCUCUGUCUUUUAUUCUUCUUUCUGCCAGUGACUUGGUAUAGGAUCAUAGGACUCACCUACAACAUCUGUUACACAACAGUAUGGGAGAGGAAAGUGUUUCAUUUCAUCAAGGAGGGACGCGGGAGUGGCAUCUACUAAGUACAGCCUACAGACACUGGCUGAGGAAAACAUUUUUGGGGAGGAAACACAUUUAAUUGAAGAACAUACUUAAAUCAUUAUGUGCAAGUAUAUGCUAACUCAUCCUGCCAGAGCUAAGGCUCUGCUUGCUGAGGACAUCACCAUGAGGACAUCACCAUGAGGAAGAAGACUCCUGCAAAGUGUUCACCUGCCCUGAGGGAUGGAACAACUUGGCAAGAUGUCUGCAUUACAAUUGGAAUAUUGCAUCUGCUGGGAGAAGACUUGAGAGAAUACUUUUACUUUUCACCAGUUCCUGCUGUGCCUUGGCAUUUACAGUCCCUCUGGAGAAACACUGUCAGCAGUUUUCACCUCUGCCUUGCAGACUGGCUCAGCAGUGUGACAAGCAUAUUAGUUCAUCACUGAGCCCCAUCCAGUUCCUCAGGAGGGUUACAAGCUGUCCAUGGAAGUAUUACUGAAUUGUCUACUCUGAAUAAAUGCUCACAUGAAAAAAAAACA
rnacentral:lncRNA from 1 species